rnacentral:rRNA from 1 species
UACGUAGGGUGCGAGCGUUGUCCGGAAUUAUUGGGCGGAAAGGGCUCGUAGGCGGUUUGUCACGUCAGGAGUGAAAACUCGGGGCUUAACCCCGAGCCUGCUUCUGAUACGGGCAGACUAGAGGUAUGCAGGGGAGAACGGAAUUCCUGGUGUAGCGGUGAAAUGCGCAGAUAUCAGGAGGAACACCGGUGGCGAAGGCGGCAUCCUGGACCAUGACUGACGCUGAGUGAGCGAAAGCCAGGGGAGCAAACGGG